rnacentral:rRNA from 1 species
GACGAACGCGGCGGCGUGCCUAAUACAUGCAAGUAGAACGCUGAAGAGAGGAGCUUGCUCUUCUUGGAUGAGUUGCGAACGGGUGAGUAACGCGUAGGUAACCUGCCUGGUAGCGGGGGAUAACUAUUGGAAACGAUAGCUAGUACCGCAUGACAUUGAUUAUCGCAUGAUAAUUAAUUGAAAGAUGCAAUUGCAUCACUACCAGAUGGACCUGCGUUGUAUUAGCUAGUUGGUGAGGUAACGGCUCACCAAGGCGACGAUACAUAGCCGACCUGAGAGGGUGAUCGGCCACACUGGGACUGAGACACGGCCCAGACUCCUAUGGGAAGCAGCAGUAGGGAAUCUUCGGCAAUGGGGGGAACCCUGACCGAGCAACGCCGCGUGAGUGAAGAAGGUUUUCGGAUCGUAAAGCUCUGUUGUAAGAGAAGAACGGGUGUGAGAGUGGAAAGUUCACACUGUGACGAUCUACCAGAAAGGACGCA